CCUACGGGGGGCAGCAGUGGGGAAUAUUGCACAAUGGAGGAAACCCUGAUGCAGCAACGCCGCGUGAGUGAAGAAGUAUUUCGGUAUGUAAAGCUCUAUCAGCAGGGAAGAAGAUGACGGUACCUGAAUAAGAAGCCCCGGCUAACUACGUGCCAGCAGCCGCGGUAAUACGUAGGGGGCAAGCGUUAUCCGGAUUUACUGGGUGGAAAGGGAGCGUAGACGGCAAGGCAAGCCAGAAGUGAAAGGGCAGGGCUCAACCCUGUACAUGCUUUUGGAACUGUGGUGCUAGAGUGCAGGAGAGGUAAGUGGAAGUCCUAGUGUAGCGGUGAAAUGCGUAGAUAUUAGGAGGAACACCAGUGGCGAAGGCGGCUUACUGGACUGUAACUGACGUUGAGGCUCGAAAGCGUGGGGAGCAAACAGGAUUAGAUACCCGGGUAGUC
rnacentral:rRNA from 1 species